UACGGAGGGGACUAGCGUUGUUCGGAAUUACUGGGCGUAAAGCGCACGUAGGCGGAUUUGUAAGUCAGGGGUGAAAUCCCGGGGCUCAACCUCGGAACUGCCUUUGAUACUGCAAAUCUCGAGUCCGGAAGAGGUGAGUGGAAUUCCUAGUGUAGAGGUGAAAUUCGUAGAUAUUAGGAAGAACACCAGUGGCGAAGGCGGCGACCUGGUCCGGUACUGACGCUGAGGAGCGAAAGCGUGGGGAGCGAACAGG
rnacentral:rRNA from 1 species